GACGAACGCUGGCGGCGUGCUUAACACAUGCAAGUCGAACGGAAAGGCCCUGCUUUUGUGGGGUGCUCGAGUGGCGAACGGGUGAGUAACACGUGAGUAACCUGCCCUUGACUUUGGGAUAACUUCAGGAAACUGGGGCUAAUACCGGAUAGGAGCUCCUGCUGCAUGGUGGGGGUUGGAAAGUUUCGGCGGUUGGGGAUGGACUCGCGGCUUAUCAGCUUGUUGGUGGGGUAGUGGCUUACCAAGGCUUUGACGGGUAGCCGGCCUGAGAGGGUGAACGGCCACAUUGAGACUGAGAUACGGCCCAGACUCCUACGGGAGGCAGCAGUGGGGAAUAUUGCACAAUGGGCGGAAGCAUGAUGCAGCAACGCCGCGUGCGGGAUGACGGCCUUCGGGUGGUAAACCACUUUCGCCUGUGACGAAGCGUGAGUGACGGUAAUGGGUAAAGAAGCACCGGCUAACUACGUG
rnacentral:rRNA from 1 species